UACGAAGGGGGGCUAGCGUUGCUCGGAAUCACUGGGCGUAAAGCGCACGUAGGCGGAUUUCUAAGUCAGGGGUGAAAUCCUGGAGCUCAACUCCAGAACUGCCUUUGAUACUGGGAAUCUCGAGUCCGGGAGAGGUGAGUGGAACUGCGAGUGUAGAGGUGAAAUUCGUAGAUAUUCGCAAGAACACCAGUGGCGAAGGCGGCUCACUGGCCCGGUACUGACGCUGAGGCGCGAAAGCGUGGGGAGCAAACAGG
rnacentral:rRNA from 1 species